rnacentral:tRNA from 1 species
GUCCGGAUGGCGGAAUGGUAGACGUAGGGGACUUAAAAUCCCCUGACCUUUGGGUCGUGUGGGUUCGAGUCCCACUCCGGACACCA